rnacentral:rRNA from 1 species
AUGGGUGAUGGCGUGCCUUUUGUAGAAUGAACCGGCGAGUUACGAUUUGAUGCAAGGUUAAGCAGUAAAUGUGGAGCCGUAGCGAAAGCGAGUCUGAAUAGGGCGUUUAGUAUUUGGUCGUAGACCCGAAACCAGGUGAUCUACCCUUGGUCAGGUUGAAGUUCAGGUAACACUGAAUGGAGGACCGAACCGACUUACGUUGAAAAGUGAGCGGAUGAACUGAGGGUAGCGGAGAAAUUCCAAUCGAACCUGGAGAUAGCUGGUUCUCUCCGAAAUAGCUUUAGGGCUAGCCUCAAGUGAUGAUUAUUGGAGGUAGAGCACUGUUUGGACGAGGGGCCCCUCUCGGGUUACCGAAUUCAGACAAACUCCGAAUGCCAAUUAAUUUAACUUGGGAGUC